rnacentral:rRNA from 1 species
UGGGGAAUUUUCCGCAAUGGGCGAAAGCCUGACGGAGCAAUGCCGCGUGGAGGUAGAAGGCCCACGGGUCGUGAACUUCUUUUCCCGGAGAAGAAGCAAUGACGGUAACUGGGGAAUAAGCAUCGGCUAACUCUGUGCCAGCAGCCGCGGUAAUACAGAGGAUGCAAGCGUUAUCCGGAAUGAUUGGGCGUAAAGCGUCUGUAGGUGGCUUUUUAAGUCCGCCGUCAAAUCCCAGGGCUCAACCCUGGACAGGCGGUGGAAACUACCAAGCUGGAGGACGGUGGGGGCAGAGGGAAUUUCCGGUGGAGCGGUGAAAUGCGUAGAGAUCGGAAAGAAAACCAACGGCGAAAGCACUCUGCUGGGCCGACACUGACACUGAGAGACGAAAGCUAGGGGAGCGAAUG